rnacentral:rRNA from 1 species
AGCCGCCGCGGGAAUACGUAGGGUCCGAGCGUUGUCCGGAAUUAUUGGGCGUAAAGGGCUCGUAGGCGGUUUGUUGCGUCGGGAGUGAAAUCCUACAGCUUAACUGUGGGCUUGCUUUCGAUACGGGCAGACUUGAGGCAUUCAGGGGAGAACGGAAUUCCUGGUGUAGCGGUGAAAUGCGCAGAUAUCAGGAGGAACACCAGUGGCGAAGGCGGUUCUCUGGGAAUGUUCUGACGCUGAGGAGCGAAAGUGUGGGGAGCGAACAGGAUUAGAGACCCGAGUAGUCCCUGUCUCUUAUACC